CCCACCAGAACCGGGGAAGCACCAACGCAUGCGCCUUCGCUCUCCUUUUGUUUCUCGUUCCCGCCCUCCACACCGGAUGUGACGCUCUACACCUUAGUCACGUCGUUAAGUAACCUCUGACUCAGCCUCCGCUUCAGAGAUCAUGCCUUCUGACAACGGCAGUCCUUCAAACCCAACCCCCAUUAAGCUCCAUCACCCACCAGCCUCUUCUAGAGCUAGCAUUCAUCCACAGUUCUACUCCUGACCACACCAGAUGUGUGAAGUUUAACAAGUCGUUUUCCCCACCUGGAUUUAGUUUUGUCUUCAACCAGCUUCGGAAACUAUGCAGCCUUCCUCCUAUCCUGGACUGAUGUGAGGAUUUGACGAGACUACAUGUUUAAGUUGUAGUGUACUGUGUACGUUAACAUGAUUAUGUUUCCAAGCAGCUCUAGUUGUUACAAAGUUUUCAUUAAAGAGUAAAUUUUGCCUCUUGGAA